CACGUAGGGCGCAAGCGUUGUCCGGAAUUAUUGGGCGUAAAGAGCUCGUAGGCGGUCUGUUGCGUCCGCUGUGAAAACUCGGGGCUUAACCCCGAGCCUGCAGUGGAUACGGGCAGACUAGAGGUAGGUAGGGGAGAAUGGAAUUCCCGGUGUAGCGGUGAAAUGCGCAGGAUAUCAGGAGGAACACCAAAUUGCGAAGGCAGCUCGCUGGAACGUAACUGACGCUGAGACGCGAAAAGCGUGGGGGAGCAAACAGGG
rnacentral:rRNA from 1 species